rnacentral:lncRNA from 1 species
UCCAACUGGAACAUCCAGCAUCAGACACUAAUCCAGCUGACUGGACACAAUUGGAGAAACUGGUUAUUUCACCAAGGCUUUGACUGGAAUGGUGUGCCUUCCUUCAAGGAAUCAAACUGGACUUAUGAAGCCAAUAAAGCCCUUGGGAAACUGGCCUCGUAUUUUGUGUACACAGUCCCUGUACAGGGUUUCUGAUCUGUGGUAAGUAAUGAAGGUCACUUUCUGACAGGCCGGGAGGCCCAACUUAUUUGGAACCUCAAGAGGAGAGGAAUUCACCAAACUCAUAGUUAUUUGAUGGUACAAAUCCAUGGCUGCGCUUGGCUUUAAAAAGGUCUUAUCUCAUAUUCCUUCUAUGGAACAAAGUUCUGUCAAAGCCAGUUUAAGAGGCCUAUGUAACAAAUCAUUAUUCUUGCUGCGCUGUAUGCAAAUAAUUAAGCCAAGUACAAUAAAGCAAACCAGUCCUACCAUGAUUUGUCUUUUAAUAAAAAUGGGAAACUGAAGAGAGAAAAUUAUGUUUCAAAAACUGUAGCAUACCUGUUGUUAAAUUCUAGUGUUGCCUAACAUUUUUCAAUUCUUAUUAUUUUCUACUGUUUAAAUUAAAUUCUAACUUUUC